rnacentral:rRNA from 1 species
UACAUGGGGUGCAAACGUUGCUCGGAAUUAUUGGGCGUAAAGCGCACGUAGGUGGUCUGUUAUGUCAGAUGUGAAAGCCCUCGGCUUAACUGAGGAAGUGCACCUGAAACUGGCAGGCUUGAGUACGAAAGAGGGUCGCGGAAUUCCCGGUGUAGAGGUGAAAUUCGUAGAUAUUAGGAAGAACACCGGUGGCGAAGGCGGCCCACUGGUCCGGUACUGACGCUGAGGUGCGAAAGCGUGGGGAGCAAACAGG